rnacentral:tRNA from 1 species
UGUAGCUCAGUGGUAGAGCACUUGCCUGACAUGCAAGAGAGCCUGAGUUCAAUGCUUAGUA